AUUGAACGCUGGCGGCAUGCCUUACACAUGCAAGUCGAACGGCAGCACGGGUGCUUGCACCUGGUGGCGAGUGGCGCACGGGUGAGUAAUACAUCGGAACGUGUCCUGUAGUGGGGGAUCGCCCGGCGAAAGCCGGUUUAAUACCGCAUACGAUGUACGGAUGAGAGCGGGGUACCUUCGGGCCUCGCGCUAUGGGGUUGGCCGAUGGCGGAUUAGCUAGUUGGUGGGGGAAAGGCCUACCAAGGCGACGAUCAGUAGCUGGUCUGAGAGGACGACCAGCCACACUGGAACUGAGACACGGCCCAGACUCCUACGGGAGGCAGCAGUGGGGAAUUUUGGACAAUGGGCGAAAGCCUGAUCCAGCAAUGCCGCGUGUGUGAAGAAGGUCUUCGGGUUGUAAAGCACUUUUGUUCGGAAAGAAAGCCUGGGCCCUAAUACGGUCGGGGGAUGACGGUACCGGAAGAAUAAGCACCGGCUAACUACGUG
rnacentral:rRNA from 1 species